rnacentral:rRNA from 1 species
AGGGUUUGAUCCAUGGCUCAGGGUGAAUGUUGGCGGCGCGUCUAAUACAUGCAAGUCGAACGAAGUAGCAAUACUUAGUGGCAGACGGGUGAGUAACAUGUAGGUAUCUACCCUUUGGCCUGGAAUAACACGAGGAAACUUGUGCUAAUACCGGAUAAGUCUUUACGGAGAAAGCUUUAUGCACCAUUGGAUGAGCCUGCACUUGAUUAGUUUGUUGGUAGGGUAAUGGCCUACCAAGACUGUGAUCAAUAGCUGAUUUGAGAGGAUGAUCAGCCACAUUGGGACUGAGACACGGCCCAAACUCCUACGGGAGGCAGCAGUGGGGAAUCUUGCACAAUGGAGGAAACUCUGAUGCAGCGAUGCCGCGUGAGUGAAGAAGGCCCUUGGGUUGUAAAGCUCUUUCGUCGGGGAAGAAAAUGACUGUACCCGAAUAAGAAGGUCCGGCUAACUUCGUGCCAGCAGCCGCGGUAAUACGAAGGGACCUAGCGUAGUUCGGAAUUACUGGGCUUAAAGAGUUCGUAGGUGGUUGAAAAAGUUGGUGGUGAAAUCCCAGAGCUUAACUCUGGAACUGCCAUCAAAACUUUUCAGCUAGAGUUUGAUAGAGGAAAGCAGAAUUUCUAGUGUAGAGGUGAAAUUCGUAGAUAUUAGAAAGAAUACCAAUUGCGAAGGCAGCUUUCUGGAUCAUUACUGACACUGAGGAACGAAAGCAUGGGUAGCGAAGAGGAUUAGAUACCCUCGUAGUCCAUGCCGUAAACGAUGUGUGUUAGACGUUGGAAAUUUAUUUUCAGUGUCGCAGGGAAACCGAUAAACACACCGCCUGGGGAGUACGACCGCAAGGUUAAAACUCAAAUGAAUUGACGGGGACCCGCACAAGUAGUGGAGCAUGUGGUUUAAUUCGAAGAUACGCGCAGAACCUUACCAACACUUGACAUGUUCGUCGCGACUCUAAGAGAUUAGAGUUUUCGGUUCGGCCGGACGAAACACAGGUGCUGCAUGGCUGUCGUCAGCUCGUGUCGUGAGAUGUUGGGUUAAGUCCCGCAACGAGCGCAACCCUCACUUUUAGUUGCCAUCAUUAAGUUGGGCACUCUGAAAGAACUGCCAGUGAUAAGCUGGAGGAAGGUGGGGAUGACGUCAAGUCCUCAUGGCCCUUACGUGUUGGGCUACACACGUGCUACAAUGGCAUCUACAACAGGAAGCAAAACGGCAACGUUAAGCAAAUCCCGAAAAGAUGCCUCAGUUCGGAUUGCACUCUGCAACUCGAGUGCAUGAAGCUGGAAUUACUAGUAAUCGUGGAUCAGCGUGCCACGGUGAAUGCGUUCCCGGGUCUUGUACACACCGCCCGUCACACCAUGGGAGUUGGUUCUACCUUAAGGCAAGGUUUCAAACCCUUGACCACGGUAUAGUCAGCGACUGGGGUGAAGUCAUAACAAGGUAGCCGUA